rnacentral:rRNA from 1 species
UACAGAGGUCUCAAGCGUUGUUCGGAUUCAUUGGGCGUAAAGGGUGCGUAGGUGGCGCGGUAAGUCGGGUGUGAAAUUUCGGAGCUUAACUCCGAAACUGCAUUCGAUACUGCCGUGCUUGAGGACUGGAGAGGAGACUGGAAUUUACGGUGUAGCAGUGAAAUGCGUAGAGAUCGUAAGGAAGACCAGUGGCGAAGGCGGCUCUCUGGGACGGUACUGACGCUGAGACGCGAAAGCGUGGGGAGCGAACAGG